GCAAGUAACCACUAGAACAAGCAGAAGGAUACUACAUAUAAAAGGGUUUUGGAUAAUAAGACAGAAAAAGUGCAUAAUAUAUAUCAGUUCCACUCUAAGACCUUUCUAUAUCUGGGUGAAUAAGACCUGCACUAAGGUUUUGAGCUCAUCACUUUAAAACCCUAAAUCUCUUAACUGUUUAUUUUAUUUUAUUUUUUGAUUAUGCACCGGGUGUCCGGGUCUCUUCGAGCCCCGACUAAUCCCGAGGGUGCACAGGCCCUUGG
rnacentral:lncRNA from 1 species